rnacentral:rRNA from 1 species
CUCAUACAUGCAAGUCGAACGAGAUUUGAUGGAGCUUGCUCUAUCGAUGAGAGUGGCGCACGGGUGAGUAACGCGUGGGUAACCUGCCUCGAAGUUUGGGAUAACAUUGGGAAACCAAUGCUAAUACCGACUAAUUUUUAUUACUGUAUGGUGAUUUAAUAAAAGAUGCCCUCUUCUAUGGUAUCGCUUCGAGAGGGGCCUGCGUCCUAUUAGCUAGUUGGUGGGGUAACAGCCUACCAAGGCGAAGAUGGGUAGCCGGCUUGAGAGAGUGAUCGGCCACACUGGAACUGAGACACGGUCCAGACUCCUACGGGAGGCAGCAGUAGGGAAUAUUCCGCAAUGGGCGAAAGCUUGACGGAGCAAUACCUCGUGAGUGAUGAAGGCUUUAGGGUCGUAAAGCUCAGUCAGCAGGGAAGAAGGGUUAUGGUUCGAAUAGGGCUAUAGCUUUGACGGUACCUGCAGAGGAAGCCACGGCUAAUUACGUGCCAGCAGCCGCGGUAAUAC